rnacentral:rRNA from 1 species
UGGGGAAUAUUGGACAAUGGGCGAAAGCCUGAUCCAGCAAUGCAGCGUGUGUGAAGAAGGCCUGAGGGUUGUAAAGCACUUUCAGUAGGGAAGAUAAUGACGGUACCUACAGAAGAAGCACCGGCUAACUCCGUGCCAGCAGCCGCGGUAAUACGGAGGGUGCAAGCGUUAAUCGGAAUUACUGGGCGUAAAGAGUACGUAGGAUGUAAUGCAAGUCGGAUGUGAAAUCCCCGGGCUUAACCUGGGAACUGCAUUCGAAACUACAUUACUAGAGUGUAGUAGAGGUAAGCGGAAUUUCGGGUGUAGCGGUGAAAUGCGUAGAUAUCCGAAAGAACAUCAGUGGCGAAGGCGGCUUACUGGACUAACACUGACUCUGAGGUACGAAAGCGUGGGGAGCAAACAGG